rnacentral:rRNA from 1 species
GACGAACGCUGGCGGCGCGCUUAACACAUGCAAGUCGAACGGAAAGGCCUGCUUUCCCUUGUGGAUUGCGGGUACUCGAGUGGCGAACGGGUGAGUAACACGUGAGUUAUCUGCCCCCAACUUGGGUAUAAGCCUGGGAAACUGGGUUUAAUUCUCGAUAGGACUGCAGGGUGGUGCCUGUGGUGGAACACGAUUUUCUAGUGGUUGGGGAUGAGCUCGCGGCCUAUCAGCUUGUUGGUGGGGUAAUGGCCUACCAAGGCGGCGACGGGUAGCCGGACUGAGAUGGUGGACGGCGAAAUUGGGACAGGGAUAAGGCCCAGACUGGUGCGGGAGGCAGCAGUGGGGGGUAUUGGGCAAUGAGCGGGAGCCUGAUGCAGCGAGGCCGCGUAGGAGAUGACGGCCUUCGGGUUGUAAACUGCUUUGGAACGAGAGGAAGACACCUGGUUGGAAGGGUGGUGACGGUAGUGGUAGAAGAAGCACCGGCUAACUACGUG